rnacentral:misc_RNA from 1 species
AACACUGUUAACCUGCGGUACCUGCGGAGGGAUCAUUACCGAGUUUACAAACUCCCAACCCUAUGUGAACCUUACCAAUCGUUGCUUCGGCGGGCUUAGCCCCCGCGCCCUCGCCGGCGCCGGGAGAAAGGCGCCCGCCGGGGACCCCAAACCCAAUGUUUUUCAUGCAGUAUUUCUGAGUGGCAAACGCAAAAAUAAAUCAAAACUUUCAGCAAUGGAUCUCAGAUCGGAAGAGCACAC